UGGCUUAUGUCUCCAGCUACCCAUUAUGGGUGCUCAUUUCUUCAGUUAUCCAAGUUCAUGUCCAAGAAGUCAACCUUGAUUUUUCACACUUCCUAACAGUCUGCAUUCAAUCAGAUGCCAAGUAUCAUUGAUUUCAACUCAUCACCAUGUCAUGUGAGCAAAAGGAUCAUAUAGAAGACUCCUACUUUUCCUCCACACACUAUUUGUUAACAAUGCAUGCUUUGGGGUUAUUAUCUUACCUCCUGAUGCAAGAAGUGAGGGAUGCCAACUAAGGGAUUUGUGCUGAUUUAUUGCAACUAUGGUAAAAGUAUGUGCAUCCCUUUAAGAGGAUUAGUGUGGCAAUAUGAAUAUUGUAGUG
rnacentral:lncRNA from 1 species